UACGUAGGCAGCGAGCGUUGUUCGGAAUUAUUGGGCGUAAAGAGCUCGUAGGCGGUUUGUCGCGUCUGCUGUGAAAACUCAGGGCUUAACCCUGAGCCUGCAGUGGGUACGGGCAGACUAGAGUGUGGUAGGGGGAGAUCGGAAUUCCUGGUGUAGCGGUGGAAUGCGCAGAUAUCAGGAGGAACACCGGUGGCGAAGGCGGCGACCUGGUCCAUUACUGACGCUGAGGCGCGACAGCGUGGGGAGCAAACAGG
rnacentral:rRNA from 1 species